UACGGGGGGAGCAAGCGUUGUCCGGAAUUAUUGGGCGUAAAGAGCUCGUAGGCGGUUUGUUGCGUCGGCUGUGAAAUCCCGAGGCUCAACCUCGGGUCUGCAGUCGAUACGAGCAAACUAGAGUGUUGCAGGGGAGACUGGAAUUCCUGGUGUAGCGGUGAAAUGCGCAGAUAUCAGGAGGAACACCGGUGGCGAAGGCGGGUCUCUGGGCAACAACUGACGCUGAGGAGCGAAAGCGUGGGGAGCAAACAGG
rnacentral:rRNA from 1 species